CUGGAAAUGCUAAUUGGAUACCAGCCUGUCUGAACUCGUGUUUCCAGCUUGGUCAGAAAUGAUGUUCAGAGUUCACAGGAGCAGCAACGAUGAGGUCACAUAACAACACUUUGUGCUUUUGGAGCACUUGGACAUGGAGGGUUAUCGUCCAGCAUCUUUUGGAUCAUUGUUGUUUGGUUUCACUUUUUAACUGUUUAGUUUAAACUAAAAUCACUGUUUUGAUCUCACUGGUUCUUAGAGGUGUUUGGUCCGGGAUAAUAAAGGUUUCGUCUCUCUUACAUUAACUAACACUGACGUUGAAAAAUGAUGCGCUGGGAGACAAACGGCUGAGAUUGUUUUGUGUUUGUGAUCCAGGACUGUGGCCCAGCAGGCCUGUUUGCUGCCAUAUAACCGUUUAAAUUGAGCUGAGCAGAUGUUCCUGUCAGCGAGGCGAUGAUACGAUCUGCAGGAGUUCAUUUCAUUUCCAUAAAUUUUCACUUUUUUUGAAGAUCUGUUUCCCGUCUGCCUCCACUCAAACCAGCAGCAGAAGCCGAUGAAUCACCUGUGAUGACCUGAUGCUUACAACACUGAGCAGCACUAAGUCCACUUCUGAUAUCUCAAAGUCGUCACUCAGAGCAUCACUUCUGCACAGUUUGUUUCAGGAUCCUCCACAAAUACAACCAUAACAUUAGUGAUAUGUAUAAAAACACACGUCUCUGUUUGCUUCCAUAAUCAUCUUUCAGUGAUUAAAGUCCAUGUCAAGCAAACCUUCUGAGAGGAAACCACGUGAGUGAAAGUCACGGCCAGGCUAACCCACACGGGGAUCCAAAGCAAACGUCUGAGCUCAGGUGGCUGCUGAGGCAUCCAGGAACCAGGGCGAGCCUCAGACAUGAAACAAACUCUUAUCUGAUUCAUCAACUGACGAAAAAUCAACCGCCAGCCAGUCUGAUGAUUAAGUAGAUGUAAUUUUUUAUAGUGCAAAGUUUGUUGAUUUUAAUGUUUCUUUCAGAUUUUGAAAAAUACAGGAAAAGUCCGAACAUGUGGAGGUGCAGCACUGUGAUGUGAAGCCACAUAAUCUUGUUUUAAGUUAAACGAUCUAAUGGUGAGAAACCACGACGGCAGAUAAUGAGACAUUUUUAAAGAAUCUUUGCUUAAAAAUAUGUUUGUCAUUCAUGGUAUGAACUUGAUUUAAACUGUUUCUGGUCGAGUUUCCUUGAUAUAUUAUGAAUAUGUGUAGAUGAGAUAGAGUCAAGAUGUCUGUGAGUGUCAGGAAAUGUAUACAUGAGGGAUCAAAGAGAGGUGUGAAGUGGAUCAGAAAGAAACAGCACAGCAUCAUCAGAGUAAUCAAUGGAAUAUUUUCCACUCUGGGAAGAUGAUCAAUAAUCUUGUGAAAUGUUCCACUGUAGCCAACAGCGAUCAUGUGACGGGUUAUUAGGAUGAGUUCCUGAUGACUUCAAACACAGAGAAACAAAAGCAAAGCCAUUUUUAUCAAACACAAAUGACAACAAAUGAAAAUACUGUUGUAAAUAACUCAGAGAAAUGUACAAAAAUACUGAUUUUGACUUACGACAGGACCGACAUGGGUAAAUCGGGAGCUGUAGUUCAUGUUCCACUUCAAACUGGUUUUGGACUGACUUUGUAUGGAAAUGAGCAGCUGCACACUUAAUAAAAUGCUCC